rnacentral:rRNA from 1 species
UACGAAGGGGGCAAGCGUUGUUCGGAAUUACUGGGCGUAAAGGGCGCGUAGGCGGUGCACUAAGUCAGGCGUGAAAGCCCUGGGCUCAACCCGGGAAUUACGCUUGAUACUGGUGCGCUUGAAUCCAGGAGAGGUUGGUGGAAUUCCCAGUGUAGAGGUGAAAUUCGUAGAGAUUGGGAAGAACACCGGUGGCGAAGGCGGCCAACUGGACUGGUAUUGACGCUGAGGCGCGAAAGCGUGGGGAGCAAACAGG